rnacentral:rRNA from 1 species
GACGAACGCUGGCGGCAUGCCUAACACAUGCAAGUCGAACGAGACCUUCGGGUCUAGUGGCGCACGGGUGCGUAACGCGUGGGAACCUGCCCUUAGGUUCGGAAUAACUCCCCGAAAGGGGUGCUAAUACCGGAUAAUGUCUUCGGACCAAAGAUUUAUCGCCUUUGGAUGGGCCCGCGUUGGAUUAGCUAGUUGGUAGGGUAAAAGCCUACCAAGGCGACGAUCCAUAGCUGGUCUGAGAGGAUGAUCAGCCACACUGGGACUGAGACACGGCCCAGACUCCUACGGGAAGCAGCAGUGGGGAAUAUUGGACAAUGGGCGAAAGCCUGAUCCAGCAAUGCCGCGUGAGUGAUGAAGGCCUUAGGGUUGUAAAGCUCUUUUACCCGGGAUGAUAAUGACAGUACCGGGAGAAUAAGCUCCGGCUAACUCCGUG